UGUAUGGUCACAGCAGCUGCCAAACUCUUCUGGCUGGAAAAUGAAGCAAACUGAACACCUGAGUGCAUCAGGUGCUUAACCUGCUUUGCCUGGACUUGAUGAGAAACAGUACCACUACCAGCAGUGCUGCUGUGUUUGCAGGGAUGUGGUAACUUCUAGGAGGCACAGGCCAGCAAUGGUGACCUCUUCAGCUAGUUCUUGGUCCAGCUGGAAAAGUGGCAGCAAUGGUACACACAUAAUGGACAUGAUGUGGCUGGCUGGCUAGUGGGCCUAAUGUAACCAUUUCUCCUGAGGAGAAACCAGUAUUGUUUUGUAUUCUGACUACUGACUGACACCCUCCUUGAUCCCCUACACCUACAUCACUAGAAUCUUCUAUUGCACAGAGCUUUGGGUGAUGGUAUACAAGUUUUUUUUUAUUUUUUCCUUAUUUGAAAAAAUAAAACACACAGGAACUUGG